rnacentral:rRNA from 1 species
AUUGAACGCUGGCGGCAUGCCUUACACAUGCAAGUCGAACGGCAGCACGGGAGCAAUCCUGGUGGCGAGUGGCGAACGGGUGAGUAAUAUAUCGGAACGUGCCCAGUCGUGGGGAUAACGUAGCGAAAGCUACGCUAAUACCGCAUACGAUCUAUGGAUGAAAGCGGGGGAUCGCAAGACCUCGCGCGAUUGGAGCGGCCGAUAUCAGAUUAGGUAGUUGGUGAGGUAAAGGCUCACCAAGCCGACGAUCUGUAGCUGGUCUGAGAGGACGACCAGCCACACUGGGACUGAGACACGGCCCAGACUCCUACGGGAGGCAGCAGUGGGGAAUUUUGGGACAAUGGGCGCAAGCCUGAUCCAGCAAUGCCG